rnacentral:tmRNA from 1 species
GGGGGCGACAGGCUUCGACGGGUCUAGUGAAGGAUCUCGGGGCGUGCCCAGGUUCCCGGUUACCUGGUUAAACCACUGGGAAACGCACAACUGCCAAUACUGAAUUGGCCCUGGCUGCCUAAGCUUCGCGCUUAGCGCACCUGCCCACGUGGCAGCCCGCCUGAGGCGGCGCGUGGGUAUCGCAAAGUCAGGCUGGCUGGAUGUCGUGCUCUCUGGCAGCCGGUGAGACCUAACGAGAGCUUGUCUGCUCGACGGUCGGUCGCGAACCGCUGAGUGGAGACCUCGAUCGCGACCUACGCACGUAGACUCGGUUUCGGAUCGAGGCUCGGACCGGGGUUCGACUCCCCGCGCCUCCAUCA